UACGAAGGGGACUAGCGUUGUUCGGAAUCACUGGGCGUAAAGCGCACGUAGGCGGAUGUGUCAGUCAGGGGUGAAAUCCCGGGGCUCAACCUCGGAACUGCCUUUGAUACAGCACGUCUCGAGUCCGGAAGAGGUGGGUGGAAUUCCUGGUGUAGCGGUGAAAUGCGCAGAUAUCAGGAAGAACACCCGUGGCGAAGGCGGCUCUCUGGAACGGUACUGACGCUGAGACGCGAAAGCGUGGGGAGCGAACAGG
rnacentral:rRNA from 1 species